CGAAAUCCCAAUUUUGUCCAAGCAGUCACAACCAACCAAACACUUUUAAAAAAAGUCAACAAGGGCAAUCUCGUCAUCACCCACCAAAACCCCUCUCCAAAACCCAGCCACUCUUAUACAAUCACAAAAAGCCACAAACCCAUUAAUUUCCAUUUCAUUUCCUUAUUAUUUUUCCCUUUCCAUCACACAAUUUCCAUUUCAUGCAAUCGCAAACUAACUCAAUACAAAACCCAAAUUUCCACACUCACUCUCUUCACUCUCUUCACUCUCUCUCAUGCGAUUUCUCUUUCUCUCUCAUGCGAUUUCUCUUCAACACGAUCAAAACCUACCACUCGGGUUUUAUGUUCACCUUGCUGUCACGGUCUAACUUAA